rnacentral:rRNA from 1 species
CACAGAGUUAGCCGAUGCUUAUUCCUCAGAUACCGUCAUUGUUUCUUCUCCGAGAAAAGAAGUUGACGACCCGUAGGCCUUCCACCUCCACGCGGCAUUGCUCCGUCAGGCUUUCGCCCAUUGCGGAAAAUUCCCCACUGCUGCCUCCCGUAGGAGUCUGGGCCGUGUCUCAGUCCCAGUGUGGCCGGUCACCCUCUCAGGCCGGCUACCCGUCGUCGCCUUGGUGAGCCGUUACCUCACCAACAAGCUGAUAGGCCGUGAGCCCAUCUAUAACCACUACAUAACGCUUUCCACCAACACCCCAUGCGGAGAUUGGUCGUAUCCGGUAUUAGACCCAGUUUCCCCAGGCUUAUCCCAGAGUUAAAGGUAGGUUACUCACGUAUUACUCACCCGUUCGCCACUAAUCCACCUAGCAAGCUAGGCUUCAUCGUUCGACUUGCAUGUGUUAAGCACGCCGCCAGCCGUUCGUCCUGAGCCAGGAUCAAACUCUA